UACAGGGGGUGCAAACGUUGCUCGGAAUCAUUGGGCGUAAAGCGCACGUAGGCGGUCUGUUAUGUCGGAUGUGAAAGCCCUUGGCUCAACUGAGGAAGUGCAUCCGAAACUGGCAGGCUAGAGUACGAAAGAGGAUCGCGGAAUUCCCGGUGUAGAGGUGAAAUUCGUAGAUAUCGGGAGGAACACCAGUGGCGAAGGCGGCUUUCUGGUCUGCUCUUGACGCUGAGGCGCGAAAGCUAGGGUAGCAAACGGG
rnacentral:rRNA from 1 species